CACGUAGGGUGCGAGCGUUGUCCGGAAUUAUUGGGCGUAAAGAGCUCGUAGGCGGUGUGUCACGUCGGCCGUGAAAACCUGCAGCUUAACUGUGGGCGUGCGGUCGAUACGGGCAUCACUGGAGUUCGGCAGGGGAGACUGGAAUUCCUGGUGUAGCGGUGAAAUGCGCAGAUAUCAGGAGGAACACCGGUGGCGAAGGCGGGUCUCUGGGCCGAUACUGGCGCUGAGGUGCGAAAGCGUGGGGAGCAAACAGG
rnacentral:rRNA from 1 species